UCCCUGGAGGACUAGUGGUUAGGCCACGGCGCCCUCACCGCUGCGGCCUGGGUUCGAUUCCUGGCCAGGGAA